UUGCUCAUUUCGGCAGCACAGAUACUAAAUUUGAAACAAUACAGAGAUUAGCAAGGCCCCUGAGCAAGGAUGACAGGCAGAUUCGUGAAGCAUUCCAUAUUUUU
ensembl:snRNA U6 U6 spliceosomal RNA